rnacentral:rRNA from 1 species
ACGGGAGGCAGCAGUGGGGAAUAUUGGGCAAUGGGCGAAAGCCUGACCCAGCGACGCCGCGUGAGGGAAGAAGAUCUUCGGAUUGUAAACCUUAGUCAACAGGGACGAAGAAAGUGUCGGUACCUGUGGAGGAAGCCACGGCUACUACGUGCCAGCAGCCGCGGUAAUACGUAGGUGGCGAGCGUUAUCCGGAAUUACUGGGUGUAAAGGGAGCGCAGGCGGGACAGCAAGUCAGCGGUGAAAUGUAUGGGCUCAACCCAUGAACUGCCGUUGAAACUGUUGUUCUUGAGUGGAGUAGAGGUAGGCGGAAUUCCGAGUGUAGCGGUGAAAUGCGUAGAUAUUCGGAGGAACACCAGUGGCGAAGGCGGCCUACUGGGCUCUAACUGACGCUGAGGCUCGAAAGUGUGGGGAGCAAACAGGAUUAGAUACCCUGGUA